GACGAACGCUGGCGGCGUGCUUAACACAUGCAAGUCGAACGGAAAGGCUCCAGCUUGCUGGAGUACUCGAGUGGCGAACGGGUGAGUAACACGUGGGUGAUCUGCCCUGCACUUCGGGAUAAGCCUGGGAAACUGGGUCUAAUACCGGAUAGGACCGCACUUUGGUGUGUGUGGUGGAAAGGUUUUUCUGGUGUGGGAUGAGCUCGCGGCCUAUCAGUUUGUUGGUGGGGUAAUGGCCUACCAAGACGGCGACGGGUAGCCGGCCUGAGAGGGUGGACGGUCACAUUGGGACUGAGAUACGGCCCAGACUCCUACGGGAGGCAGCAGUGGGGAAUAUUGCACAAUGGGGAAAACCCGGAUGCAGCGACGCCGCGGGGGGGAUGAAGGCCUUCGGGUUGUAAACUCCGUUCGCUAGGGACGAAGCUUUUUGUGACGGUACCUGGAGAAGAAGCACCGGCUAACUACGUG
rnacentral:rRNA from 1 species